AUUUCUACAUCUGCUCUGUUAGAAGAUAGGCUCGCUUAGGACAGAGCCUUCUAAUCCACCCCCUGAUGAAUUCGGGCCCUCGCCUUUGGCACAAUGCCUGGCGUCAUCACAACGCGGGUGAUCAGUAAACGGCAGCGAAGGAAGCGGGGUCAGGACUGGAGAGGAGAGGGGGAGGAAGACAGACGACCGGAGAGGAACAAAAAUGGAAGGUAACUUGAGCUUUCAUAACUGCAGAAGUGCAAAACAGCUCCCUGUGUGAUAUAGGAAGUAAAACCGUAGAGAUGGGACUUGGCUGGCCUGCCCUUCACACACUUUAGACAUUAACCCAAAGUUCAUGCUCCUGCCAUGACAGUGAUGGUGGACAGGAGGGAAGAAAAUGACAAGGAGGAAAGGAGGUGUCUUUUGCUCUUAAAAAUGAGAAGGGUCAUAAACAAUCCAUCGGCUGCAAACCACGAGUUGCCCCCAAAGCAAAGCAGGUUAGUGGCUGCUGCCGCCUCAUCAUAGCUUCAGAACCCACAGAGCCUGGAGGACUGUCAAACAUUAUCUAAUAUCCCAUUCUACAGAAGAGAAAACUGAGGUUGAGGCAGGAACGCAGACAGGAAUCAAGGUUUUGGGGUUGGGAUUUGCAAUCCAUUACUUUGCCUCCUGCAUCCACUGCUUUUCCCUGGGCAUUCUCUUCUUCCGGUUUCUUGGAAGUUAAAAUUGCGAGAGAAGCAACACAGAGUGGUUUUCCCAGGGCCUCGACCUCGGUAAGGGAAGACGUGGAAUUCCGAGUGUGGAGACCCAGACAGCCUCCGAAACCCCCACGCAACCCUGGGCGUUCAGCAGCUGCCAAUGCCCGCCUGACAAGUUUCUGGGGCAUCUCUGCACACGGAGAGGUGUGUCUCCUGCAGCUCCAAAAACAGAUUUUGCCAUCUCAUCCCCAUAUUUGCAGUCUCCAGUUGGCUUCUUGUGAUUGGCCAGAACUUUUCCUCACUGGAGAGAUGAGGAGAAUCCAGUCCUCCAACCAGCUGAGAGAAAACACUGCAGUAGCAGAGAUAGCAAUGGCUGUUCCACCCCACACUGAUACGAUGUCAGGGAGCCAGGGGUGGGCUCAACAGGCUGAAUGAUGCCAGGGACUCCCAAGGGUCUAUACAUUUAACCCUGGAGGAAGUGGCCUCUGACCAGGCAGUGUUUCAAGAACCCAGCUCCAUUCAUCCUAUGAUGCCACCAUCCUCAGCAUUUGACUUCCAUGGCUCCUGUAAGAGAAGAGAACAUGAAGAACAAAACAGGAGGUUUUUAUGGGAGGCAU
rnacentral:lncRNA from 1 species